AGAGAAGAUGGAUGACCUUUGCUUGAACAGUUGUAGAGAUCGCCGGGCUGGCCGUUGAUGGUGUAUGCAUCGGAUAUGGCUGGAGCGGCUCCGGUCAUUGUUGCUUGUCUCACAACUUGAACUGGGUUAUCUAUCUAUAUGAAAUUGAGGACUGAGUUAAUUACCUCCAUUGAAAGAGACCCUUCAAAGCUUCCCUGGUAUAGUCUAUGGCACUAUGCUUAUGUAGCCUAGAGGCUGAUGUAUUUUAUUAAUGUAUGCUUGUUAGUUUUUAGUUUUUAGCCAAAGGCAACUCGCAUGCCGUAUGUAUGUUUGGUUUAUUGCAGCUGUAGGGGUUGUCACUAGUAUGCAACUGGAACAUUUGGAUCAAUAAUAGUUGUUCAUUUCUUUGCAA